rnacentral:tRNA from 1 species
AUUUAAGUAGUUUAAUAAAAAUAUUGAUUUGUGAUAUCAAAGUUAUAAAUUUUAUCUUAA